UCCGACGUAGGAACUGAAUGCAAAUAGAACUAUACCUUCCCCCCACGACCCCCGCCCGGACUUCAGUUUGCUGGGUUUCAAGGAUGUCAGAGACCAGCCAGGGGGCAGCUGGAGAAAAGCCGCAGAGGAAGCCGCUGUGAAAGAAGACUGACUUCCCCAAACACUCUGCUGUGAAGAAAUUCAAGUUAGCUACUUGAAGAGGUCCCCAGGGAGCACCACAGCGCUGGACAUGUGAGUGAAGACGUACGUAUUGGACUGUCCAGUUCAGCUGGCAACUAAAUGCAACCAAAGGAAGCAAAAAGAACGGGUCUCCAUAUCCUUGACC